UUGGUUUUUGGUUUUCGGUGAUGACGGGAAACUGAAACGUAAUUGGGUUGAGAAGCAAUAUAAGGAUUUCCAUGAAGUCAGAAUUGAGAAGGGUGGAGAGCGGUGGACGAUGAAGGUAAACAGAGAAGGAAACAGAAAGAGAGUAGAGAAUGUUCAGUUGCUUGGUCCAACAACGCAGCAGGAAGAAGGAGUUUAAAAUAAAGAAUUUAUAAGGACUCCAGUUACCCGAGGAACGGAAGGUUCGUGACUCUCGGAGUACGUGAAGAAAAGCAUCGGAAUCCAGGUGGGGGAUUCGGGACUCUCCUCGAUUAGUGGGUUUAUUAUAUUACGAUUUUUAUUAAAUGAUGCAUGUUAAGUCUAUGUGGUUUGGUUAUGUUAAAAUGCAAUGCAUACUAACCAAA